AGGAUGAUGAUGAAACAAUCUCUGCUGCCUCAGAAUGGGAGGAUCCUGGGAGGCCUAUGGAGAAUGUGACUGGUGAUCAGGAAUCUGAUGAGGAACCAUCCACCUCCAAAGCUCAGCUUGGAACAAUGGCUGUUAAAGAUUUAUACAAGGUUCACCUAAAAAAACAAAUUGACAAGUGUGAUCUUCAAAAGGAACACAUAAAACAGACAAGACUGGAAAUUGAGUUGCUGGAAUAUAAAUUAA